rnacentral:rRNA from 1 species
UACGAAGGGGGCUAGCGUUGCGCGGAAUCACUGGGCGUAAAGCGCACGUAGGCGGCUUUUUAAGUCAGAGGUGAAAUCCUGGAGCUCAACUCCAGAACUGCCUUUGAUACUGAGAAGCUUGAGUCCGGGAGAGGUGAGUGGAACUGCGAGUGUAGAGGUGAAAUUCGUAGAUAUUCGCAAGAACACCAGUGGCGAAGGCGGCUCACUGGCCCGGUACUGACGCUGAGGUGCGAAAGCGUGGGGAGCAAACAGG